AGGGUAUAUGAUCUUGCUCUACUGUAUUGAUUCUUUUUGUUUCGAAAGACAAAGAUGUCUUAUCGAUGGUUAACUAUUAUUGUACAAGACGGAGAUUGAAUGGUAUCCUGGAAAUUGUUUGACUCGGAAGAUCCUAAAAAAGAAGCCAAAGAAGGGAUCCAAAAACACAAAGCCUAUCACGGUAUCACCAAGACUGAGGACUGUGAGAGUUUCUUCAAAUUUUUCAGUCCACCUCAAGUUCCUGAGGACGAAAAUGAUUUUGAUAAACAUGGUAUGGCCUUCUCCAAAAGCUUUUUUUAGUUUUGCUUUAGUGUUUCAGAAUGCGUUAAAUGUUAACCUGGUAAUUAUUUAUUUGUGCACAGGCUGAUGGACAAUGAAAAGUUUAGGAGUAAGCGUCAGGCAAAGAACAAGGAAGUUAGCGAAGGUUGAAAGCCUAUCAAGACUGGUUAUGGGGGUGUUCAAAAAAAAAAGACUGGUUAUUAGGGCUGGGUUCGCGGGUCAAUCCGCCCCGCAUGACCCGCCAACCCGCGGAUCGACUUUAUUUUUUAAACUCAAAAUUCCGACCCGCAUAACCCGCGAAAGAAAAAUCGUAAACCCGCAUUGAUAAACAUGGUAUGGCCUUCUCCAAAAGUUUUUUUAGUUUUGCUUUAGUGUUUCAGAAUGCGUUAAAUGUUAACCUGGUAAUUAUUUAUUUGUGCACAGGCUGAUGGACAAUGAAAAGUUUAGGAG
rnacentral:lncRNA from 1 species